rnacentral:misc_RNA from 1 species
UCCCGGUUAACCCGGGCAGUCUCAUUAGAGUUCCCACCUUAAAUGUUGGCAAAUAAUGAUAAGGGUUGCGCUCGUUGCGGGACUUAACCCAACACCUCACGGCACGAGCUGACGACAGCCAUGCAGCACCUGUGCAGCAGUCCCGAAGGAAGAUGCCGUUUCCGGCACUGUCUACUGCAUGUCAAGUCUGGGUAAGGUUCUUCGCGUUGCAUCGAAUUAAACCACAUGCUCCACUGCUUGUGCGGGUCCCCGUCAAUUCUUUUGAGUUUUAGCCUUGCGGCCGUACUCCCCAGGCGGGGCGCUUAAUGCGUUAGCUGCGGCACAGAGAACCGGAGAGGCCCCCCACACCUAGCGCCCAACGUUUACAGCGUGGACUAC